GACGAACGCUGGCGGCAGGCUUAACACAUGCAAGUCGAACGCAUCCUUCGGGGUGAGUGGCAGACGGGUGAGUAACGCGUGGGAACGUGCCCUUCAGUUCGGGAUAACCCAGGGAAACUUGGGCUAAUACCGGAUACGUGCGAGAGCAGAAAGAUUUAUCGCUGAAGGAUCGGCCCGCGUCUGAUUAGCUAGUUGGGGGGGUCAUGGCCCACCAAGGCGACGAUCAGUAGCUGGUCUGAGAGGAGGAUCAGCCCAAUUGGGACUGAGACACGGCCCGAACUCCUACGGGAGGCAGCAGUGGGGAAUAUUGGAAAAUGGGCUCAAGCCUGAUCCAGCCAUGCCGCGUGAGUGAUGAAGGCCUUAGGGUUGUAAAGCUCUUUCGUCCGGGACGAUAAUGACGGUACCGGAAGAAGAAGCCCCGGCUAACCUCGUGCCAGCAGCCGCCGUAA
rnacentral:rRNA from 1 species